UCGUGAUGUGAACGUUCUUUGAUUUCUGCGUGCAAAAUCAUGAGGUCAACUUGAAAUAAAUUUCAUUCCGGUAUCAAAUGGAAUUGUUCGUUUUGAUUUUUUUUUUUUUUUUGGUAACCGACUGCAAAGUUAACGAAUUUUUUUUUUGCAUCUUUUGAACAGAGAUUGUAGUUCCGCGGUGUACAUUAAUAUCUGGCGUUCACUUGCCGAUUCAAACUUCGACCCAUUGUUUUUGACUUGGCUCUAAGUCCAUCAUCUGUGACGACCGACAAGUCAGGCCACUCACGUGUCUAUGCAGUGGGACGGACGGACGGACGGAAGGACAGAUCUACAUCAGCCUAUUCAGUCCAAUUCUAAGCCUCUCGACAGAAUAUAUGACUGGAAGUACAACAGAGACAGAUGAAGCCUUCAUUCACUUACGCUGAAUUAUGAGCUGGAGUACAAGAUGGUCCGUGUAUUUGUCUAGGCGCCGCGAAUUUCGUGACAGAACCCUGGAACUAUUUGCCGAAAGGAGAAGCAGGCGACCACUGCAUUGCGCUCUGUGGGGGAAUCCGCAGACAGACAGGUGGCGAACUACGAUAUCUG